CAUGUAGGUGGAUACUUAAGUCUGUUGUGAAAAUGCGGGGCUCAACCCCGUAUUGCGAUGGAAACUGGGUGUCUUGAGUGCAGGAGAGGAAAGGGGAAUUCCCAGUGUAGCGGUGAAAUGCGUAGAUAUUGGGAGGAACACCAGUGGCGAAGGCGCCUCUCUGGACUGUGUCUGACACUGAGAUGCGAAAGCUAGGGGAGCGAACG
rnacentral:rRNA from 1 species